AUGAAGCAGCUGAUGGAGAUGCAUCAAAUGUUCGAGCUGGCCUUGAAGGAUCUUUGUCCAGCCUAUGGCUGGCCGAGCCCAAUUCCGAACACCUACUUCGGCCUUGUGCAGAAGCUGCAGGAGGCGCCGCUCUGGAUUGACGCCGUAAAGCGGUCAGGGUGCCUUGAGGGGGUGAGGCUUGCAUUUGCGAAGACCAUGGUACAUUGGCCGAAGAUUAAUCCAAUGGAGAUGGCCACCGGUCCUCCGCCCAAGGGGAAGGAGCAUCGCCGCCCCGAGCAGUAUUUUGCGCAGGUGAUGACCGGUGCUCGGGCAAUAGAGGGCCAGUGUUCGAAAGAUGUAAUGCUUGAGUAA
rnacentral:rRNA from 1 species